UACGAAGGGUGCAAGCGUUGUUCGGAUUCAUUGGGCGUAAAGGGUGCGUAGGUGGCGCGGUAAGUCGGGUGUGAAAUCUCGGAGCUUAACUCCGAAAUUGCAUUCGAUACUGCCGUGCUUGAGGACUGGAGAGGAGACUGGAAUUCAUGGUGUAGCAGUGAAAUGCGUAGAGAUCAUGAGGAAGACCAGUGGCGAAGGCGGGUCUCUGGACAGUUCCUGACACUGGGGCACGAAGGCCAGGGGAGGCAAACGGG
rnacentral:rRNA from 1 species